rnacentral:misc_RNA from 1 species
GUGAAUUCCUAAUCUAAUAGCUGUUAGAAAAUAUAAUAAAAUUAAAUUGGGAUUCAAAUCUUCAAUUAUGUAGGUAAGAUGUAAUUUCUUUGCUGAAUGAAAUUAAAGUCCCCCAGCUUCCAUUGCUGCAUUACACGAGAACUCCUCUUCUGCAUGUUUACUGCCUUAUGAUUUGAUUGGGCUUAUAGUUCUAGGUCAAACAGUAUUUGUGAAGUGAUAGAAUGUUACCGAAAGGCUUCCUAUCUGUGUAAAAUGAGGGAAGAAAAGUUAGCAAAGACAGCAUGCACGUAUUUUUUAGUUGAGGCCUUAAGAUUUGGUCCAUCAAAGAUUCAUAUCUUAAAUUAAGCUGCUAUUGUUGAUGAAUUAUAAAUUCAUCAAAAUACUGCAAAAACUGAGUUUUUAGUUUACUCUUGAAUUUUAAGUCUUCAACUCUGGGCUAUUGAAUGGUUAUUUUGUUUUUACCUUGGUCGUUUGCAUUUAUUCUGAUUGCUCAACAAAUGUGCUACCUCGGGUCCAUGCAGAAACAAUUUUCAGAAUUACUG